GGAGAGAAAUUACAAGUUCAUGGCUGUUUUAAUGCUUUUUAAUAAUGGUUUGUCCUUAUCCCUAUGUUGCAAUGGUUCAUUCCCACAAGAGUUCCCCUCCCUUCUCAUGCAUAUUCUAUUGUUUAUCCCUCCCCUUUAUGCUCUGUACCCAAUCCUUGUUCCUCCUUCCCAAAACUCCUCCCCUUAUUCACCAUACUCUGGAAAGUUCUCCCAGCUCCCCUAUAAAAGGGGGAGCCAUGUUAGUAAACUGGUUCCCUUUUUUUUAUUGUGCAGCUUGUGUGGAAGUCUGAGUGAACUUCCCCGUGUCCCCAGCUGGGCUGUGUUAUGCCCCGAUUGCUCCCCUCUUCCUCUAGUUCUUCCUGCUCAGUGAGCAAGACCUUUGAAUGGGAACACGUGAAAGGCAACCCGGAGCUGUGACAUCCCCUUUGUGUCACUCCGGGAGCAAAGAGACCGAGAUUGGCUGUCCCUGUGCAUUCCAGGUGGAGAGAUCCCGCGGCUGCCCCGGCCCCGGAGCCGCAGGAGCAAACACAAGAAUAGAAAUAAUAAAAAUGGUAAAAGCUGUUGUCAAGACUUACAACGUUCAAAGACCACAAUUACACACACUACUCAGGUGAUUGUGCCACAUGAAGACUGAAGGCCUAAAAGAUACUGUAAAUCUUGUCUGUACAGCAUAUUCUAAAGCACUGUUUAGCAUUCUUAAAAAGAAUUACUUUUUCCAUUUUAUCUACAUAAUUCCUCAGAUAAAAAAUUAUUUUCCAAGAUAAUCUUUUUAGGGGAAAAAACCACCACAACUCUGUUUUUGUCUGAGAAUUCCUCUUUCUGAACUUGAGCUCCAAAAGCAAUUAAUUUUACUCUGAGCUUAUCGUCUUUUACAACUCUGACUGUCACUCCAUUCCAUCAAUUCACUGUUUUUUCCCUUCUUUUCCUAUUAGUUAUUCCUCAUGUCCCCUAACUACUGGUUUUUUUAACUGACUUUUCUUUGGCUUCUGUCAGUUCAUUGAUAUUUUUCCAGUCUUUAACAGGAAGUGAAUAUACUAACUGUUGUCUGAAAGCUGUACAAUGAGGAAUUAUCCUUCUGCUUUCGUGAAUCAAUGACCACUCUGUAAGGCUAAAAGCAGUUUUUCUCUUCCCAUUGUUUUCCCACUUCCUCUCAUCCCAUUUGUUGUUGCACUCAGUUUUUUUCCAGCAAGCACCACAACACAAAUAAUACCCUCCCACACCGUUCACUUCGAGAUCUCACACUAUUUUUCAAAAGGAAUCCUCUUUCCCUUAGCUGGGGAAAACACAGGGUACAAACAAGACAGUUAUCUCACCCCAGGAUGUGUAGCACAGGUUGUGUUCCAGCUCAGCGUGUUCCCUCAUAUUCUCCUUUUCCGAGGAAACCCCUGCUCAUACUGAUCUGUUUAGAAAGAGGUGGGUAAAGUUCAAGCUUUGCUUUUUCCUGUCCCACUUCACUUCUUGGGCUGCUUCCACCACAAACCCUCGCUGCUGCUGGGCAAAGGACAGGCCCCCUCCCGAGGUCACUUCAAAAUUAAUCCCACAGAGAAAUCUUUCUCUGGGAGCCCUGUCAACAUCUUCAUGUCAGAGAGGUGAAAAACCAAGCCUGGACAGAUGAACCAACUUUCCCAAAGCUGUUCUGGAGUUUCAAGAAGCAGAGCCAGGAACAGGGCUCCAGUCUCCACACCACCAGGGUUUAACCCCAGACCCAAAGGUGCUGCCCACACGUGUCUGGAUUUGGAUGUGCCAUGAGGUCCUGGGCUUGACAGACAAAAUCACAGAGGUUUCCUCUUUGCUGGAGGUAAUUCAGCCCUAAAUCUCCCAGAUAAGAGAUGAGCUAAAACCACCAAUAAACCUUUCAGCCAAUUAACAAGGUAGUAAAAGACUCUACUAAUUAGUGGGUGAUUGUGUCUCUCCCAACCUGUUGGUGCUGGUAAAUCCAUUGCCACCCGGACAGAGGCACAGAUUUCCAUCUCCUGGUUUUGUACUGUUGGUUACAGGCACAUGGCUCUUUAUAACAUCACUUACUAACAACACUCACCCCCAAAAAAACCACCAAGGCCCCACUCAGCCCUAGAAUCAAACAGGCAACAACUUGAAGUCAAGAGGAGCCUUAACACACACAACUUUAACAUAUUAGUUCACUUUUUAGAUACUAAAGGAAAAAAACCCUGGUUUUCUGGAACUGGUCACAUAGUUUCCUGCAGCUAUUUUUAGUUUGUCCUGAAUCACCUGAGUUAAAGAAUUAGCUCAAGCCUGAAUAAUUGUCCAGCUGAGAAAAAAUGCUAGAAAUUGAGCUGAGAACCAGUUUAUUGCUUCUCAAAAAUGAGUUAGGUGCCUUUGGUGGGGAUUUAAGUAUUUCUUGCCUCCUGUGUGUCACGGAUGUACAGCAAAUGCACAUUUGGAUGGUUCCUAAUAAUGGGUUCGGGGCAGAAGCAGCAAAAGGGACAAUUUUCUGUGAAUGUGCCUUGGAAAAGAGGAACAAAUGCCCUCAGAGACAUCUUCUGUUCACUCAGCUGGGGUGCUGAACUGCAAUACCUACUCAUGAUGGGGACACAUUUUUGAAGGAUGUGACCAGAAGUGUUCUGCCAAGUGCUGAAAGAGGGAUAAGUGGCAAGGAGGGAGAGAUGAGAAGCCAGUCACUGCUCCAUAGCUGAGACAUCUCUUUCUCCCAUUUUUCUAGAGGUGAAAAAGCCAAUAAAAUCCUAUUAUCAACAUUUUUAAGGAGGUAUAGCAAGUAAAUGGUGAAACUUUAUUCUUUAAUUGCAUCGGAUACAAUCUGAACCUGGCUACAGUAGGUUCUUAAUUUUCUGUGAUGUUUGGCUUUAUAUGUGUCUGUAAACAUAGAUGAAAUGAAAAUAAAAAUUUAAAAUAAAGAUUCCACAGCAAGAACUAUGAAAACACACAGAAGCCGAUAAAACUGAUCAAAAAGAAAAGACAAAACAAAAAAAGAGCAAGACAAAUACCUAACAGUCAAUUCACUUAAAACCCUAUCCUACAUUUACUGUUGAAUUUUCUCCAAGUGUACUAUGUCAAGCUCUAAGUAGAUAGUGCUAAAUUAAUUUAAUUUCAGGAUCACACAGAAAGCAGCAUUAAAACCUUUCACUCCUCUUCCCAAGAGUGAAACCAAACCAUCACACAACACGUAUUACUUGUAGUUUUCUCUUUUGUUUGUUUAACAAAAACCUGGAAUUGUUCUAACAGAAAAAAAA